rnacentral:rRNA from 1 species
UCCUACGGGACGCAGCAGUGGGGAAUAUUGGGCAAUGGACGCAAGUCUGACCCAGCAACGCCGCGUGAAGGAAGAAGGCUUUCGGGUUGUAAACUUCUUUUAAGGGGGAAGAGUAGAAGACGGUACCCCUUGAAUAAGCCACGGCUAACUACGUGCCAGCAGCCGCGGUAAUACGGAGGGUGCGAGCGUUAAUCGGAAUUACUGGGCGUAAAGCGCUCGUAGGCGGUAUGUCAAGUCAAGGGUGAAAUCCCCGCGCUCAACGUGGGAACUGCCUUUGAAACUGGCAAACUGGAGUGUGUGAGAGG